UACGGAGGGUGCAAGCGUUAUCCGGAUUCACUGGGUUUAAAGGGUGCGUAGGUGGAUUGGUAAGUCGGGUGUGAAAUCCCUGGGCUCAACCCGGGAAUUGCAUUCGAUACUGGCGAGCUAGAGUACGGUAGAGGGCGGCGGAAUUCCGGGUGUAGCGGUGAAAUGCGUAGAUAUCCGGAGGAACACCGAUGGCGAAGGCAACCGCCUGGGCCUGUACUGACGCUGAGACACGAAAGCGUGGGGAGCAAACAGG
rnacentral:rRNA from 1 species